rnacentral:rRNA from 1 species
AACGAACGCUGGCGGCAUGCCUAACACAUGCAAGUCGAACGAGACCUUCGGGUCUUGUGGCGCACGGGUGCGUAACGCGUGGGAACCUGCCCUUAGGUUCGGAAUAACUCCCCGAAAGGGGUGCUAAUACCGGAUAAUGUCUUCGGACCAAAGAUUUAUCGCCUUUGGAUGGGCCCGCGUUGGAUUAGCUUGUUGGUAGGGUAAAAGCCUACCAAGGCGACGAUCCAUAGCUGGUCUGAGAGGAUGAUCAGCCACACUGGGACUGAGACACGGCCCAGACUCCUACGGGAGGCAGCAGUGGGGAAUAUUGGACAGUGGGCGAAAGCCUGAUCCAGCAAUGCCGCGUGAGUGAUGAAGGCCUUAGGGUUGUAAAGCUCUUUUACCCGGGAUGAUAAUGACGGUACCGGGAGAAUAAGCCCCGGCUAACUCCGUG